UUGAUUGACCCUCUGUGUUUAUUUCUGUUAGGAUAAACAGCUAUCUCUUCCAGUUCUGAAGGUUUGGGCUUGUAUUAGAAAUGAAGAUUACAGAAUGUCAGCCCAGAGUACCUGGUGGACAACGACUGCUACAUCUGAGGCCUUGGUGACUGGAACAGCUGGUACAAAAGAGUAGGCACAAGAUGGCAGCUUGGAGAGCUCUGUCAACAGUGUUGGGAGCUGGAGCAACAGGAGCCAUGGGAGUGAGCUGCUUCAGGAGCUGCUGGUAUACUCUUACAAGAUACCCCUGGAUUGACUUCCUAAUGGAUAGAUGGGGGAUGAGGCUAUCACCCUUCCUAAGUAAUUGCUCUAACUAAACCUGCUUUUCUCCUUCUGAAGUCUAAGGUUAAGGGAAUUCUCAGAUGGGACUCAACCCACAACUUCGUGGAAUGGGAAGAUUCGGAAAUUCCACUCCCCUAAGCAUAACUAAAAGGAAAAACUGGGCCUCCCCGGUGGCGCAGCGGUUGAGCGCUGGGUUGCGAAGCUGCCCG